rnacentral:piRNA from 1 species
UAGCAACUAGCAUGAUGUUAGUAGGU